rnacentral:rRNA from 2 species
GCUGGCGGCGUGCCUAAUACAUGCAAGUCGAACGAACUCUGGUAUUGAUUGGUGCUUGCAUCAUGAUUUACAUUUGAGUGAGUGGCGAACUGGUGAGUAACACGUGGGAAACCUGCCCAGAAGCGGGGGAUAACACCUGGAAACAGAUGCUAAUACCGCAUAACAACUUGGACCGCAUGGUCCGAGCUUGAAAGAUGGCUUCGGCUAUCACUUUUGGAUGGUCCCGCGGCGUAUUAGCUAGAUGGUGGGGUAACGGCUCACCAUGGCAAUGAUACGUAGCCGACCUGAGAGGGUAAUCGGCCACAUUGGGACUGAGACACGGCCCAAACUCCUACGGGAGGCAGCAGUAGGGAAUCUUCCACAAUGGACGAAAGUCUGAUGGAGCAACGCCGCGUGAGUGAAGAAGGGUUUCGGCUCGUAAAACUCUGUUGUUAAAGAAGAACAUAUCUGAGAGUAACUGUUCAGGUAUUGACGGUAUUUAACCAGAAAGCCACGGCUAACUACGUGCCAGCAGCCGCGGUAAUACGUAGGUGGCAAGCGUUGUCCGGAUUUAUUGGGCGUAAAGCGAGCGCAGGCGGUUUUUUAAGUCUGAUGUGAAAGCCUUCGGCUCAACCGAAGAAGUGCAUCGGAAACUGGGAAACUUGAGUGCAGAAGAGGACAGUGGAACUCCAUGUGUAGCGGUGAAAUGCGUAGAUAUAUGGAAGAACACCAGUGGCGAAGGCGGCUGUCUGGUCUGUAACUGACGCUGAGGCUCGAAAGUAUGGGUAGCAAACAGGAUUAGAUACCCUGGUAGUCCAUACCGUAAACGAUGAAUGCUAAGUGUUGGAGGGUUUCCGCCCUUCAGUGCUGCAGCUAACGCAUUAAGCAUUCCGCCUGGGGAGUACGGCCGCAAGGCUGAAACUCAAAGGAAUUGACGGGGGCCCGCACAAGCGGUGGAGCAUGUGGUUUAAUUCGAAGCUACGCGAAGAACCUUACCAGGUCUUGACAUACUAUGCAAAUCUAAGAGAUUAGACGUUCCCUUCGGGGACAUGGAUACAGGUGGUGCAUGGUUGUCGUCAGCUCGUGUCGUGAGAUGUUGGGUUAAGUCCCGCAACGAGCGCAACCCUUAUUAUCAGUUGCCAGCAUUAAGUUGGGCACUCUGGUGAGACUGCCGGUGACAAACCGGAGGAAGGUGGGGAUGACGUCAAAUCAUCAUGCCCCUUAUGACCUGGGCUACACACGUGCUACAAUGGAUGGUACAACGAGUUGCGAACUCGCGAGAGUAAGCUAAUCUCUUAAAGCCAUUCUCAGUUCGGAUUGUAGGCUGCAACUCGCCUACAUGAAGUCGGAAUCGCUAGUAAUCGCGGAUCAGCAUGCCGCGGUGAAUACGUUCCCGGGCCUUGUACACACCGCCCGUCACACCAUGAGAGUUUGUAACACCCAAAGUCGGUGGGGUAACCUUUUAGGAACCAGCCGCCUAAGGUGGGACAG